UACACUCCUACGGGAGGCAGCAGUGGGGAAUAUUGGACAAUGGGCGCAAGCCUGAUCCAGCCAUGCCGCGUGAGUGAUGAAGGCCCUAGGGUUGUAAAGCUCUUUCACCGGAGAAGAUAAUGACGGUAUCCGGAGAAGAAGCCCCGGCUAACUUCGUGCCAGCAGCCGCGGUAAUACGAAGGGGGCUAGCGUUGUUCGGAAUUACUGGGCGUAAAGCGCACGUAGGCGGAUCGAUCAGUCAGGGGUGAAAUCCCAGGGCUCAACCCUGGAACUGCCUUUGAUACUGUCGAUCUGGAGUAUGGAAGAGGUGAGUGGAAUUCCGAGUGUAGAGGUGAAAUUCGUAGAUAUUCGGAGGAACACCAGUGGCGAAGGCGGCUCACUGGUCCAUUACUGACGCUGAGGUGCGAAAGCGUGGGGAGCAAACAGGAUUAGAAACCCUUGUAGUCCCAUGAU
rnacentral:rRNA from 1 species